rnacentral:rRNA from 1 species
GACGAACGCUGGCGGCGUGCUUAACACAUGCAAGUCGAACGAUGAAGAACGGCACUUGUGUUGUUUGGAUUAGUGGCGAACGGGUGAGUAACACGUGAGUAACCUGCCCCUUACUUCGGGAUAACCAUUGGAAACGGUGGCUAAUACUGGAUAUGACCUGUCACUGCAUGGUGGUGGGUGGAAAGAUUUUUUGGUGAGGGAUGGGCUCGCGGCCUAUCAGCUUGUUGGUGGGGUGAUGGCCUACCAAGGCGACGACGGGUAGCCGGCCUGAGAGGGCGACCGGCCACACUGGGACUGAGACACGGCCCAGACUCCUACGGGAGGCAGCAGUGGGGAAUAUUGCACAAUGGGCGAAAGCCUGAUGCAGCGACGCCGCGUGGGGGAUGAAGGCCUUCGGGUUGUAAACCCCUUUCAGUAGGGAAGAAGCGUAAGUGACGGUACCUGCAGAAGAAGCGCCGGCUAACUAC